GCUCUCGCUGCCUGCCGCUGCCUCCCCGCCCCGCCGGGCCUGCGCCUCAGAGCGGACACCGUCCAUCGACCGGCUGGGCCAGGGCGUGCGGGUUCUGCUUUGCGUUGCAAGGCAGCGCCCGGGGAUGUGAGGCAUACCCCGAGUGCAGCAGACAGCAGAGAUGUGCAUUGCUGGAAUCCAGAGAGUUUCAUAACGUGGCAGCUGCUUGCUGAAAGCCCUGCAGAUACAAAACAACGCUUACUUUAAGUCUUGGGAAACAUCUCCUACUAAGUAGAAGAAAAAAGCAUUUAGGUGAAGCAAUGUUGCCGGUCCCAGCUGUUUAUGAGGCUUGGGUUCUGUCUUUAUGCAUUUUAAAUGCUUUUUGUUUUCAUUCUGCUUUUUGAGCCUUUCAAGUGCAUGUUUUCCAUUUCUUUUCCAUCUGAGAAGAAAGUCUGGAAUCAAGUCCUUGCUUUAAAAACAAAAAUCUGGUUCAGAGUCCCGUAUAAUCAUGUAGGUCCAGACAUGGGGUGUUUAAAAAUAAAGCCACUUUCAUGAGAAUCA